UACGUAGGGGGCUAGCGUUGUCCGGAAUCAUUGGGCGUAAAGCGCGUGUAGGCGGUCCGGUAAGUCCGCUGUGAAAGUCGGGGGCUCAACCCUCGUAUGCCGGUGGAUACUGUCGGGCUUGAGUACGGAAGAGGCGAGUGGAAUUCCUGGUGUAGCGGUGGAAUGCGCAGAUAUCAGGAGGAACACCGGUGGCGAAGGCGCCACUCUGGGCCGGUACUGACGCUGAGGAGCGAAAGCGUGGGGAGCGAACAGG
rnacentral:rRNA from 1 species